rnacentral:lncRNA from 1 species
UCACGAUGUCGUCGAAUCCCGGUGAGGACCCGUUCUUCUCCUUGUGUUUAUUUCUCUCCGGCACAUGUAUUCGACGCCGAUUAAUUAAAUGCUAAUCAUUUAUAUAUGUGUGUGCGUAUGCGUGUGAUUUUUGCAGAGGAGAAACACCUGAGGCAGUUGGGUGGAGAAGAAUAAAGAAAGCUCUCGCGCAUCACACACCUAGCGCUCGACGGAAUGAUUGAGAUUGAAUCGUCGUCGUUUCCGUUAUUUGGUUUAGUAUGGUGAGCUCUUUCGCCAUCCUUGUUAGUAGCGUGUAAGGUGGAUGCAUAUGCAUAGUGUGAUUAAAUUGAUUCUUUGAUU